GUUUGAUCCUGGCUCAGGAUGAACGCUAGCGGCAGGCUUAAUACAUGCAAGUCGAACGGGAUUCGGGGUAGCAAUACUUUGAUGAGAGUGGCGCACGGGUGCGUAACGCGUAUGCAACCUACCUUUAACAGGGGAAUAGCCCCGAGAAAUCGGGAUUAAUACUCCGUAACAUUGCGGUGUGGCAUCACACUGCAAUUAAAGAUUUAUCGGUUAAAGAUGGGCAUGCGUGACAUUAGCUAGUUGGUGAGGUAACGGCUCACCAAGGCAACGAUGUCUAGGGGUCCUGAGAGGGUUAUCCCCCACACUGGUACUGAGACACGGACCAGACUCCUACGGGAGGCAGCAGUAAGGAAUAUUGGUCAAUGGGCGCAAGCCUGAACCAGCCAUGCCGCGUGCAGGAAGACGGCCCUAUGGGUUGUAAACUGCUUUUAUCAGGGAAUAAACCCCCGCUCGUGAGCGGGGCUGAAGGUACCUGAAGAAUAAGCAUCGGCUAACUCCGUGCCAGCAGCCGCGGUAAUACGGAGGAUGCAAGCGUUAUCCGGAUUCAUUGGGUUUAAAGGGUGCGCAGGCGGAUUGGUAAGUCAGGGGUGAAAUCCCACAGCUCAACUGUGGAACUGCCUUUGAUACUGUCAGUCUAGAGUAUAGUUGAAGUUGGCGGAAUGUGUCAUGUAGCGGUGAAAUGCUUAGAUAUGACACAGAACACCGAUCGCGAAGGCAGCUAGCUAAGCUAUAACUGACGCUCAUGCACGAAAGCGUGGGGAUCAAACAGGAUUAGAUACCCUGGUAGUCCACGCUGUAAACGAUGAUUACUCGAUGUUGGCGAUACACAGUCAGCGUCUGAGCGAAAGCAAUAAGUAAUCCACCUGGGGAGUACGAUCGCAAGAUUGAAACUCAAAGGAAUUGACGGGGGCCCGCACAAGCGGAGGAGCAUGUGGCUUAAUUCGAUGA
rnacentral:rRNA from 1 species